rnacentral:rRNA from 1 species
CGGAGGAAGAGAAACCAACCGGGAUUGCCCUAGUAACGGCGAGUGAAGCGGCAACAGCUCAAAUUUGAAAUCUGGCGCCUUCGGUGCCCGAGUUGUAAUUUGUAGAGGGUAGCUCGAGCCCGCCCCCGUCUAAGUCCCCUGGAACGGGGCGUCGUAGAGGGUGAGAAUCCCGUAUGCGACGGGGUGGCGUGCUCGUGUGAGCUCCCUUCGACGAGUCGAGUUGUUUGGGAAUGCAGCUCUAAAUGGGAGGUAAAUUCCUUCUAAAGCUAAAUACCGGCCAGAGACCGAUAGCGCACAAGUAGAGUGAUCGAAAGAUGAAAAGCACUUUGGAAAGAGAGUUAAAAAGCACGUGAAAUUGUUGAAAGGGAAGCGCUCACGACCAGACUCGGGUGCGGCUGCUCAGCCGGUCUUCUGACCGGUGCAUCGGUUGUACCCGGGCCAGCAUCGGUUCGGGCGGUCGGAUAAAGGCCUCGGGAACGUAGCUCCUCUCGGGGAGUGUUAUAGCCCGGGGCGCAAUGCGGCCUGCCCGGACCGAGGAACGCGUUCGCUAGGAUGCUGGCGUAAUGGUCGUUAGCGGCCCGUCUUGAAACACGGACCAAGGAGUCUACCAUCUGUGCGAGUAUUAGGGUGUCAAAACCCUUGUGCGUAAUGAAAGUGAACGGAGGUGGGAACCCUUUGGGUGCACCAUCGACCGAUCCAGAUGUCCUCGGACGGAUUUGAGUAAGAGCACCGCUGGUGGGACCCGAAAGAUGGUGAACUAUGCGCGGAUAGGGUGAAGCCAGAGGAAACUCUGGUGGAGGCUCGCAGCGGUUCUGACGUGCAAAUCGAUCGUCAAAUCUACGCAUAGGGGCGAAAGACUAAUCGAACCAU